rnacentral:rRNA from 1 species
UACAGAGGGUGCAAGCGUUGUUCGGAAUUACUGGGCGUAAAGCGUGCGUAGUCGGUAUUGAGAGUCACGGGUGAAAUCCCCACGCUUAACGUGGGAACUGCCUGUGAGACCUCAGUACUAGAGUGUGAGAGGGGAUAGUGGAAUGCCAAGUGUAGCGGUGAAAUGCGUAGAGAUUUGGCGGAACACCGGUGGCGAAGGCGGCUAUCUGGCUCACAACUGACGAUCAGGCACGAAAGCGUGGGGAGCAAACAGG